GUAGGAUAGAAAUAAAUUUUAUUAGUUAAAAGUUAAUUUCUUUAAUGAAAGKUUAUAUUAGUUUAGUAGGUAAAAUUUGUUAAAUUAAGAAUAUUUUGAUUUAUUAAAUGAAGCUUUGAAAAUUGAUAAUGAAACUAGGAUUAGAUACCCUAUUAUUUCAAUUGUAAAAUAAUUAAACUUGAGUAGUAUCAGAUAAUUUCUUGAAACUCAAAGAAUUUGGCGGUGUUUUAGUCUUUUCAGAGGAAUCUGUCCCGUGAUUGAUAAUACACAUUAGAUUUAACUGAGUUUUGUAUAUCAGCUUGUAUACCRCCGUCGUAAGAUUAUCUUGUUAGAGGUUUAAUUUUCUUAAUAUUUUAAGAUAAUAUGUCAGGUCAAGGUGCAGUUUAUAAUUAAGUGUGAGAUGGAUUACAAUAAAAUUAUUUAAAUGGAUAUAUUGUUGUAAUAUGAUAUUGAAGGUGGAUUUGGAAGUAAUUUUAUUAAAUUAUGACAAAAUGACUGAAGCUCUAGGACAUGUACACAUCGCCCGUCGCUCUCGCUAUUAAGGUAAGAUAAGUCGUAACAGAGUAGUCGUACUGGAAAGUGUGCCUAGGAAGUCAA
rnacentral:rRNA from 1 species